rnacentral:lncRNA from 1 species
CAAACGUUGAUAACAGUAAAUUUGAGAUGCUGAGACAGAAGGAACACCACAAGUCUAAGUUCAGCCUGACCUUCAGAGCAGGUGUUGAGAUGGCUCAGUCAAUAAAGGCAUUUGCAACCAACCAUGAUACCCUUAGUUUGAUUCCUGAACCCCACAUGGCACGCGAAAAGAACUGACUCAAGCUGCCCUUUGAUUUUCAAACAUAAAUCUGGCUAAACAGUAAUUCUGAGCCAUGGCCUCAAGAUAAACAAGACAAGCUUAAAAGGAUGGAAAGAGGCAAUGGAGAUAAUGUUUUGGAGAAACUGUUUCAGCCAAGCAUGAACUCUGUUUAUUUAGAAAUGAGAUUCCAUAUAUGUGGUACAAGUGAAAAGAAUGUAAAAAAUCCUUUAAAUUUUUUUAUUCUAAAAAGUAACUGUGGAAGAAUAAAAAGUAAAGUGAGUAAGAAAUUAUUAUUUUAUCUAAAAUUUGACAGAUCCUACAGUAAAAG